rnacentral:rRNA from 1 species
ACGGGUGAGUAAUGUCUGGGAAACUGCCUGAUGGAGGGGGAUAACUACUGGAAACGGUAGCUAAUACCGCAUAACGUCGCAAGACCAAAGAGGGGGACCUUCGGGCCUCUUGCCAUCAGAUGUGCCCAGAUGGGAUUAGCUAGUAGGUGGGGUAACGGCUCACCUAGGCGACGAUCCCUAGCUGGUCUGAGAGGAUGACCAGCCACACUGGAACUGAGACACGGUCCAGACUCCUACGGGAGGCAGCAGUGGGGAAUAUUGCACAAUGGGCGCAAGCCUGAUGCAGCCAUGCCGCGUGUAUGAAGAAGGCCUUCGGGUUGUAAAGUACUUUCAGCGGGGAGGAAGGUGUUGUGGUUAAUAACCGCAGCAAUUGACGUUACCCGCAGAAGAAGCACCGGCUAACUCCGUGCCAGCAG